rnacentral:rRNA from 1 species
CCUACGGGAGGCAGCAGUGAGGAAUAUUGGACAAUGGGUUAGCGCCUGAUCCAGCCAUCCCGCGUGAAGGACGACGGCCCUAUGGGUUGUAAACUUCUUUUGUAUAGGGAUAAACCUACUCUCGUGAGAGUAGCUGAAGGUACUAUACGAAUAAGCACCGGCUAACUCCGUGCCAGCAGCCGCGGUAAUACGGAGGGUGCAAGCGUUAUCCGGAUUUAUUGGGUUUAAAGGGUCCGUAGGCGGAUCUGUAAGUCAGUGGUGAAAUCUCACAGCUUAACUGUGAAACUGCCAUUGAUACUGCAGGUCUUGAGUAAAUUUGAAGUGGGCUGGAAUAAGUAGUGUAANCGGUGAAAUGCAUAGAUAUUACUUAGAACANCAAUUGCGAAAGGCAGGUCACUAAAGAUUUUAAACUGACGCUGAUGGAACGAAGGGCGUUGGGGAAGCGAAACAAGGAAUCAGAUAACCUCGGUAGUCCACGCCGUAAACGAUGCUAACUCGUUUUUGGGUUUCGGCUUCAGAGACUAAGCGAAAGAUAAUAGAAGUUACCAGCCUGGGGAGUACGUUCGCAAGAAUGAAACUCAAAGGAAUUGACGGGG